UAUAUAGUGGUGUAAAGGCACGUAAAAUUUUGAUUUUUAAGGAGAAAGUGUAAAACUAUCUUAUAUAA
rnacentral:tRNA from 1 species